rnacentral:misc_RNA from 1 species
GUGAAUCAUCGAAUUUUUGAACGCAAAUUGCACUCCCUGGUAUUCCGGGGAGUAUGCCUGUUUGAGGGUCGUUAAAAUCAAAAAUCGCUGCGUCGCUCUUUGUUAUAGGGGUGAUCGCGUCGGAAUUGAGCCGUCGUUCAAAAGUUAAUUCUUGUCAAAGUGGCAUGAAAUUCAUCCAUCCGGUACGAUUGAAGCGUAUAUCA